UCAAGGGUCAUAUAAAGCUUAU
rnacentral:siRNA from 1 species